GAAAUGCGAUAAGUAAUGUGAAUUGCAGAAUUCAGUGAAUCAUCGAAUCUUUGAUCGCACAUUGCGCCCGCCAGCACUCUGGCGGGCAUGCCUGUUCGAGCGUCAUUUCAACCCUCAGAACCCCUUGCGGGAUCUGGCGUUGGGGAUUGGCAUCCAGCCAGCCCCGAAAUCUAGUGGCGGUCCCUCCGCGACCUCCCCUGUGCAGUAGCGAUACCUCGCAGCGGGACAGCGGUCUGACCACGCCGUAAAACCCCCAACUUCUCAAGGUUGACCUCGAAUCAGGUAGGAAUACCCGCUGAACUUAAGC
rnacentral:misc_RNA from 1 species